rnacentral:rRNA from 1 species
GAUGAACGCUGGCGGCGUGCCUAAUACAUGCAAGUCGAGCGAACAGACGAGGAGCUUGCUCCUCUGACGUUAGCGGCGGACGGGUGAGUAACACGUGGAUAACCUACCUAUAAGACUGGGAUAACUUCGGGAAACCGGAGCUAAUACCGGAUAACAUGUUGAACCGCGUGGUUCAACAGUGAAAGACGGUCUUGCUGUCACUUAUAGAUGGAUCCGCGCCGCAUUAGCUAGUUGGUAAGGUAACGGCUUACCAAGGCAACGAUGCGUAGCCGACCUGAGAGGGUGAUCGGCCACACUGGAACUGAGACACGGUCCAGACUCCUACGGGAGGCAGCAGUAGGGAAUCUUCCGCAAUGGGCGAAAGCCUGACGGAGCAACGCCGCGUGAGUGAAGAAGGUCUUCGGAUCGUAAAACUCUGUUAUUAGGGAAGAACAAAUGUGUAAGUAACUAUGCACGUCUUGACGGUACCUAAUCAGAAAGCCACGGCUAACUACGUG